GGGAAAAGGGGGAAAGAAGAAGAAAGGCCAACUACGUUGGUCUCUACAGCCUCGGGUCCUAGGUCUGCGGUGGAAACUGCUGCUGAUGGUGUUGGGGCUCCCACGGAUGAUGAUGCACCUCCUGCGGUUGCUGGUCCUCAUCAAUCCUCCGAGGGUCCGUCCUCCGGAACGGAAAAGCUAGCAUCUACGAAAACACGAUCGGAAGAAUUCCGUUUGAACAGAUUGAAUACAGACAUGAGUCUAUAACAACGAAGGCGACUGAGAACACAUAAGCUCGAAUACAUAAGCUCGGGGGCUCCGGGUACCGAACAUUAU
rnacentral:rRNA from 1 species